rnacentral:lncRNA from 10 species
CCCCCCUAGGGUUCCGGAUGGUGAGCGGCGAAGGUAAGGCGAGCUCGCAGAGGCAUCGGCGGCGGCGGCGGAGACGGAGAGAGGCAGGCAGGCAGGGCGAGGGCGAGAGACGGAGGGAGGGAGCGAGCGAGGCGGACCAGACAGACAGACAGGCGGGCGGGCGGGCGGGCAGAGCGAGCCACCCGCCAGGCUGCGCUCAGCCCCGCUCGCAGCGGAGAGAGCAGAAGGCAGGAGGAGGGAGGGGAGGAGGGGGAGGGAGGGAGAGAGGGAAUCCAGCUACCACCACCCAAAGCCAGCGUCUGCUUUCUGUCCUCAUUUCCUUUUCCCACCCAGCUUGGAGAGCAGAGAAAGGCAGAGAGAGCGAGAAAUAGAGACAGUCUGAGAGACAGACAGACAGCCAGAGAGAGCGGGAGGGAGGAGGGCGGAGGAGGAGGAGCAGGAGGACUACGCGGGGCGCGUUCCCUCCCAGGUUUGCAAUUGGGGGUGGGGCGGGGUGUCCAGGGCUGGGAGAGUGUGUGCGCGGCGGGAGGGCGAGGGGAGCGCAGAGAGCGAAGGAGUGAUCGAGGUGGGGGGGCGCCGCGGGAGCGGGGGGCCGUGUCCAGCGGAGUUAGCGGCGGAGAAUGUGAGCCGAGGCGCGAGCCAUGCUGUCAGCGACGGCGGGCGGCUCAGGGCUCUUCCACGACUCCUCUCCUCAGCAGCCGGGCGCCCGCGUCGCUGCCACCGCCGGAAGACAGACGCCCCCUAAAACCCCUCGCCUGGCUCGGACCCACGGAGCCGGCAGCCCAGCACUCCGAUGGGAGCUUGCCUGAUUGUCAAGCCAUCGGCCUGGACCCCAGAGCCUACCCAGCUGAGCAUGUGCAGAGGGCCCCGAGUGCGGGGCGACGCUCAGGCCAUUACAGAGACCACCCUGGAGAUGCUGAUGAAGACAGGCCUUUCCUGCUGAGCCGGGCCUGUCUGCACAGCCUGCUCAGAAAGGGGAACUGAGGCUCAUGGAUAUACAGUGAGUCCUACCUCCUAGCCUGAGGACUCUUCCCUGCGCCUUGAUGACCUGAGAGAACUGGGAGGAGAAAGGGGUUGUGACAAUGACCAGGACUCAGGGCAGAGGUGGAAACCAGAGUGCCUGAUGUGUGCAGCUGCUGACCCCCCAGGACACCUCUCUACCGGAGUCUGUGGAAGCAGAGAACUGGGAGGCCAAGGUGAGGUGCUGGGAGGGCCUGGGUAGCCCAGGUAUGCUAAGGUGCCCUUGCAGGACAGGGAGGGGGGUGGGGGCAGUGGCAGAACCCACCUCACUACUCCUGGCCCAGGUUAGCCCACCCAGGCUCAGGAGCUGCGGAGCCAGGUGAAGCUGCCCUGCCCUGCAGAGGCAACUCCCUGAACUGACACAUGAAGCCUCCGGCUCCAGGAAGCUCCCUAGAGCUGAGCCUGCCUGGGGACCCCACCCAGCUUCCAAAGGAGCAUUCCUGGGGCCUGAGGUCUGGGGGUGGAGUCUCCUGGGAUUGUAAGGGUGGGGAGGUACAGCUGUGGGAGGAUGCAAGGCUGUGUGUAUCCGACUGUAAAUGUACAGGGCACUCAAGCUUGUGUGCAAGCAGGUGUGUGUGGCGGGCUCUGUCCUUCCGUGCACAUGGGGUAAUAUACAAGAGUUGUAUAAGUGGACCAGGCUGGGGAGUGUUCAAGGGCUGUGUUAUGUGGUACAUGGGAGUAUGAAUAUGCAGGAUUCUGGGUGUGUACUGGGCAGGUGUGGGGAUACUGCGUGUGCCACACUGGAUGGUGUGUGUGCAAAGGUGCUAGUGUACACUGGAGAGAUGUGUGUAUAGACAAGAUCUGAAUACACUGCGAUGGUACCGUGUGUGCACACAGGGAUCUGUGUGUACACUGGCUGUGUGUGUGCCCAGGGUUCUGGAUGCACAGUGGGAGUGAUGUGCACAUGUGGCUCCAUUUGUGCUUUGGAGGUGGGUUAGGCAAGCCUUGAGCUGAGCUGGGCUCAGCAGUGCCCAGCCUUGUGGCCAAAUCGCUGAAGUCACUUCCUUUCCAGCAGCAACUUUCCAGGAGGAGGAGUUCUUCAGACCUGGGCGGGGAG